rnacentral:rRNA from 1 species
UGCCGCGUGCAGGAUGACGGUCCUAUGGAUUGUAAACUGCUUUUAUACGAAAAAAAGCACUGCUUCGUGAAGCAGCUUGAAGGGAUCGUACGAAUAAAGAACGGCUAACUCCGUGCCAGCACCCGCGGUAAUACGGAGGAUCCGAGCGUUAUCCGGAAUCAUUGGGUUUAGAGGGUCCGUACGCGGUUUAGUAAGUCAGUGGUGAAAUCCCAUCGCUCAGCGGUGGAACGGCACUUGAUUCUGCUAAACUUGAAUUAUUACGAAGUAACUAGAAUAUGUAUUGUAGCGGUGAAGUGCUUAGAGAUUACAUGGAAUACCAAUUGCGAAGGCAGGUUACUACCAAGGGAUUGACGCUGAUGGACGAAAGCGUGGGUAGCGAACAGGAUUACAUACCCUGGUAGUCCACGCCCUACACGAUGGAUACUAGCUGUUGGAAGCAAUUUCUGUGGCUAAGCUAACGUGAUAAGUAUCCCACCUGGGCAGUACGUUCGCAAGAAUGAAACUCAAAGGAAUUGACGGGGGCCCGCACAACCCGUGGAGCAUGUGGUUUAAUUCGAUGAUACCCGAGCAACCUUACCAAGGCUUAAAUGUAGAUUGACCGUUUUG